UUUUUUUUUUUGUUAGUUUUGCUGUUUGUACAGUUCUCGACCUCCUGUCCCUAACGGCCACGUUUUGUAGUCGUCGCGGGCAGUUCCAAUCCAAUAACUUCACACCCUCGUCCACGUGUCGUUUAUCUUCAACGACUUCCUGGACUUGGAGCCACUGACUGACUGCUCAGUCCUACUCCUAAUUGCUAAUUUCAAGUACCCAAUCUCAUUAUCCUAACCUAACCCUUAACACUUGUUGCCCUCCGAUCAACCCAGCCAUGGCGAGCCUCCCGAAAGAUCUACUCAUAUGCAUACUCUGCCAGCUACCAGUCAAACCACUCCUUCAGUUCCGCUCCGUCUCCAAGUCAUGGCGCCAUCUCUUUGAUAGUCCGCUCUUUGUCGAUCUCCACCUCAAGAAUUCCAUAGGAACCGGCUCCAACCUCGCCCUCAUUCUCCAAAAGGACUCCGAGCUCUACUCCGUUGAGCUCAACCUCUUGAACGACCCUGUCGAGCUCGUUCACCCUUUGAUGUGCUACAGCCAUCGAAUUCAAGUUCUGGGCUCCUGCAACGGGUUGCUCUGUAUCGCUAACGUGGCCGAAGAUAUCGCUUUUUGGAACCCAGCCAUCAGACAGCACAAGGUCUUGCCCUUUUUACCAGCCGAGCCAAACAACAACUGCGGGUCGAGCUAUCUGGGCGCGCGGGUUUACGGGUUCGGGUACGACUCGGUUCAUGACGAUCACAAGCUGGUGAGGAUUUCGCAGUUUAUUAAUUUAAAAAACGAUGGGUUUGUCUCGAAGGUUAAGGUCUAUAGUCUGAGAGAGAAUGAGUUGAGAGACUCCAAAGACAUGCCUUAUGUUCUCUGUUACACGAAGAAAAACGGGACACUUGCUAGUGGUUGUUUGCAUUGGGUGGUGAACAGGAAGUUCAAAUUUGACGAUUCUGAUCUGAUUGUCGCGUUUGAUCUUACGGUUGAGAGUUUUCGGGAGGUGCCGAUGCCGGAAUGUGCGGUGGAGAAGUUUCAAAUAGACGUAGGAGUGUUGGGUGGGUGCUUUUGUAUGGUUGCGAAUUACCAUGAUAUUCGCGUUGAUGUUUGGGUGAUGAAGGAGUAUGGGGUUAAGGAGUCUUGGGCCAAGCUGUUUACGGUCGAACAAGAAGUAAUAUUUUUUGGUGGGACUUUCACGUAUUUGAGACCCUUGGCCUAUUCAAAGAGUGGUGAGGAGGUUCUGUUGGAACAGAACCAUGAGAGGCUUGUGUGGUACGAUUUGAGAAAGAAAAAGAUCAAGAACGUGAAUCUUGGCGGUCUGCCUGCUCCGUUUGAGGCUCAUAUUUGUGUCGGAAGUCUUGUCCCGGCUGAGGUGAAUAGAGAAGACAAUGAGAAGCAGCAGAAUUUAGGAGCAGAGAAGAUCAAGAGCAAGAAAAGAUGACAUGCUUGGAUGAUUUUGGUUAUGGUCCCACUCAGGGUAGAGAUAUGUGUAAUUUUGUUCACACUUUAAUGGCUAGGGACGAUUUCCUGUCAAAGGGCUUCAAAUUGGUGUUAUAAGCAAACAGAAAAAUGAAGGAAGCGUGGAAAAUAGGAAAGUGAAAUCAAAUAGAUAUACUUGUGCAUCUGAGAAGAUGGAAGGAAACAAUUACUACUAUGAAAGGUGUCAUAUUCCUAUAUGCUUAAAUGAGUAUACUUGUUCAGUUUUUUCUCCCUGAUACAUAACCUGUUCUUAUACUUUAGUGAGUAUAGAGAUAACUGUGUUGUUGUGAGCCUUGUAGUUUCUGUGUUUUUUGAAGUUUGUAUGCCAAAUGACUAUGUACACCGUUCUGUGUUGUUGAGAUUCCAUUCUCGUUGAUCAGCAGACCUUAACAAGAAUAUAUUUUCGAUCUUUUGGUGCAUAAAUCAAAAUAGUGGGUUCUUGGA